rnacentral:lncRNA from 1 species
GCCUGGUCUCCAGAGCAAGUGCCAGGAUAGUCUCCAAAGCUACACAGAGAAACCCUGUCUCGAAAAACAAAAAUAAAAAAUAAAAAAACAAAAUGUCUAAUGAAAAACCUUCCUAUGACAGACAAAAAUGCCAGCUCCUAGAGGUGACCCUAAGGACUCCAAAGAAGACAGCUGGGGCACAGACCUGACUGUGGUAAUGCUAACCAUGGGAAGAGCUGCCCAUGCCUCAUCUGCUGCCAAGGCUCUGCCCAAACUGUGGACCCUGUAGGGUUGACUGUCACACUCUGGCUCGUCCAAGUGAGGGCCCUGGUGCCGGGAGACUCAGCCUGACGCCCACGAAGACGGUCCCCACCGGGACGAGCAGCACAGCCUGACCCCCACCGGGACGCGCAGCACAGCCUGACCCCCACCGGGACGGGCAUCACGGCCUGACCCCCACCGGGACGCGCAGCACAGCCUGACCCCCACCGGGACGCGCAGCACGGCCUGACCCCCACCGGGACGGGCAUCACAGCCUGACCCCCACCGGACGCGCAGCACAGCCUGACCCCCACCGGGACGCACAGCACAGCCUGACCCCCACCGGGACGCGCAGCACAGCCUGACCCCCACCGGGACGCACAGCACAGCCUGACCCCCACCGGGACGCGCAGCACAG